CCUACGGGAGGCAGCAGUGAGGAAUAUUGGUCAAUGGCCGCAGGGCUGAACCAGCCAAGUCGCGUGAGGGAUGACGGUCCUAUGGAUUGUAAACCUCUUUUGUCAGGGAGCAAAGGGCGCCACGUGUGGCGCUUUGCGAGUACCUGAAGAACAAGCAUCGACUAACUCCGUGACAGCAGCCGCGGUAAUACGGAGGAUGCGAGCGUUAUCCGGAUUUAUUGGGUGUAAAGGGUGCGCAGGCGGAAUGUCAAGUCAGCGGUAAAAUUUCGGGGCUCAACCCCGUCGUGCCGUUGAAACUGGUGUUCUUGAGUGAGCGAGAGGUAAGCGGAAUGCGUGGUGUAGCGGUGAAAUGCGUAGAUAUCACGCAGAACUCCGGUGGCGAAGGCAGCAUACCGGCGCUCAACUGACGCUCAUGCACGAAAGCGUGGGUAUCGAACAGGAUUAGAUACCCUGGUAGUC
rnacentral:rRNA from 1 species